UGGGUAACCUGCCUCAAAGAGGGGAAUAGCCUCCCGAAAGGGAGAUUAAUACCGCAUAAUAUGUUUAAGUCGCAUGACUUUAACAUCAAAGGAUUUUCUUUUAGAAAUUCCACUUUGAGAUGGACCCCGCGGCGCAUUAGCUAGUUGGUGAGGUAACGGCUCACCAAGGCAACGAUGCGUAGCCGACCUGAGAGGGUNAUCGACCACAUUGGAACUGAGACACGGUCCAGACUCCGUAGGAG
rnacentral:rRNA from 1 species